ensembl:lncRNA
GUUCAUCAGUAUCUCUCUCUGGGAUGGUCUGGUGUUGAAUAGCUAGGCUCUGUCAGGUCAUAGUUCAUCAGUAUCUCUCUCUGGGAUGGUCUGGUGUUGAAUAGCUAGGCUCUGUCAGGUCAUAGUUCAUCAGUAUCUCUCUCUGGGAUGGUCUGGUGUUGAAUAGCUAGGCUCUGUCAGGUCAUAGUUCAUCAGUAUCUCUCUCUGGGAUGGUCUGCUGUUGAAUAGCUAGGCUCUGUCAGGUCAGAGUUCAUCAGUAUCUCUCUGGGAUGGUCUUGUGUUGAAUAGCUAGGCUCUGUCAGGUCGUAGUUCAUCAGUAUCUCACUCUGGGAUGGUCUGCAUAUUGCACUACUUUGGACCAGAGCCCUAUGGGUCAAAAGUAGUGCACUAUG